rnacentral:rRNA from 1 species
UACGUAGGGGGCAAGCGUUGUCCGGAUUUAUUGGGCGUAAAGAGCUCGUAGGCGGUCUGUCGCGUCUGCUGUGAAACUCAGGGCUUAACCCUGAGCUUGCAGUGGGUACGGGCAGACUAGAGUGCGGUAGGGGAGACUGGAAUUCCUGGUGUAGCGGUGAAAUGCGCAGAUAUCAGGAGGAACACCGGUGGCGAAGGCGGGUCUCUGGGCCGAUACUGACGCUGAGGAGCGAAAGCGUGGGGAGCGAACAGG